rnacentral:lncRNA from 1 species
UAUUAAAAUAUAAAUAAGCAUAUUAAAUAUUGUUUAUAAGGCUAUUUUGUAAAAAUAGGCCACUAGUUUUGCAAUUUUGUAAAGAUGAACUAUUUUUUUAAAUUUUACCGAUCCGGACGGUGAGACCGAUUCUUUUUAAAUUGAACUAAAUAUUUUUAUUCUUCUUUUUCUUAUUUUUUUUCUCAUCCUGCUUACUCUCCCUCCUCCUCCAUUCGUCCUAACAUCGUCGUCGUGCUUAUCCCUAUUUCGCCUACAAGCAAGAGGUCGACAAUAAUCAAGCUUGACCCGUUCGUGGUCACGACCAUUUUCGACGUUAUUUUCCGGCAAUUGUCAUGUGGUAGAUACGAGGGUGGCGCUGCUUAGAGCAUCGUUGCAAAUAGAGGUGGCGGAGGAGAAGGACGAUGAUCACUGGUCGAUGAUGCUCGUAAAGCAGGUUCACAGACAAGGCCGAUAACAACAAAGUGGUGACAGUAGUAAAAGAGAAAAAUCUAGCAUCAUACUAUGUGAUGUUGUGCUAUUUUUUUAAAAAAAAUUAUACUAUUUGAAUGUAUUUUAUAUUAUUUAGUAAAAAAGUUACACUACUUAAUACAUAUAAUAAAAUAUACGUUAAAAUAGUACAAUUUUUUUUUAAUAGUGAAAC